rnacentral:rRNA from 1 species
UGACGUCAAAUCAUCAUGCCCCUUAUGACCUGGGCUACACACGUGCUACAAUGGGCGGUACAAAGGGUCGCGAACCCGCGAGGGGGAGCCAAUCCCAAAAAGCCGCUCUCAGUUCGGAUUGCAGGCUGCAACUCGCCUGCAUGAAGCCGGAAUCGCUAGUAAUCGCGGAUCAGCAUGCCGCGGUGAAUACGUUCCCGGGCCUU